AUUGAACGCUGGCGGCAGGCCUAACACAUGCAAGUCGAACGGUAACAGGAAACAGCUUGCUGUUUCGCUGACGAGUGGCGGACGGGUGAGUAAUGUCUGGGAAACUGCCUGAUGGAGGGGGAUAACUACUGGAAACGGUAGCUAAUACCGCAUAACGUCGCAAGACCAAAGAGGGGGACCUUCGGGCCUCUUGCCAUCGGAUGUGCCCAGAUGGGAUUAGCUAGUAGGUGGGGUAACGGCUCACCUAGGCGACGAUCCCUAGCUGGUCUGAGAGGAUGACCAGCCACACUGGAACUGAGACACGGUCCAGACUCCUACGGGAGGCAGCAGUGGGGAAUAUUGCACAAUGGGCGCAAGCCUGAUGCAGCCAUGCCGCGUGUAUGAAGAAGGCCUUCGGGUUGUAAGGUACUUUCAGCGGGGAUGAAGGGAGUAAAGUUAAUACCUUUGCUCAUUGACGUUACCCGCAGAAGAAGCACCGGCUAACUCCGUG
rnacentral:rRNA from 1 species